GCCUAGUUAGCUUGGUUGGUAGCGCGUCUGCCUUGUAAGCGCUAGGCCGUGGGUUCGAUUCCCGCCCGUGGCG
rnacentral:tRNA from 1 species